rnacentral:rRNA from 1 species
UACGUAGGCAGCAAGCGUUGUUCGGAGUUACUGGGCGUAAAGGGUGUGUAGGCGGUUGUUUUAAGUUUGGUGUGAAAUCUCCCCGGCUCAACCGGGAGGGUGCGCCGAAUACUGAGUGACUAGAGUGCGGGGAGAGGAAAGUGGAAUUCCUGGUGUAGCGGUGAAAUGCGUAGAUAUCAGGAGGAACACCGGUGGUGUAGACGGCUUUCUGGACCGUAACUGACGCUGAGACACGAAAGCGUGGGUAGCAAACAGG